UAUUUGCAUAAGCUGAUUGUUACCUGGCACUACAGACCCCACAGACAGACACAUCAGGUUGUCUCAGAGCCAAAGGAGUCUUUCAUGCUGGAGAGGGUGGAUAUUGAAUCACUUCCAAAGUCUGAUAAGGGUGUUUUCCUUGGAGUAAGCCACUUGCCUGCCUUUUGGAUUUGCUGCUAAGGUUGGCUGACACGCAUUGGCAGAUGGAGCAAUAGAUAGAGCCCUGUGUGCUGCAUCAAGAGGUGAGUUCAGGCUUCUGGCAGGCCGCCCUCUACCUGUCCACAGAGGUCCACCAACACCAGCACACCUCUACCCUCUUCCAACAUCAGCCCCCUGGCAUACUACCCACACCUGUUCCACCAAUGCUGGCGACACCAGACAGAAAUCUGCCCCAUCCCCAUGUGAUGCUGAGGUUGGCCCCUAUGGCAGCCACCAUUGUCCCCCUCCUAGGACCUUUCGGCUCCCUCCAUGGGGCCUUCCAGCCAAAGACAUGCCCUCCCCAGGUACCAGGGGAAAAGGGAGUGAUUGGACUAGGAUGUUGGGGCUGAGGAAAAAUACAUAGUAUUUAUGUAUCAUCACAUUAUGGUAUAAUCAGUGGUGGUUGGUGCUGUUUAAGAUGAGGGAUGACACUUUGUUUUACCAGCAUGGCCUUAUUUAUAUUACAGCAUAUUGGAUGACUGUCAUUCAUAUUACAUUCACCUGGCUCAAUGUAACGUCGAUAGGUUUAGGCAACGACAUGAUGAUCGAAUUUGCCCUAUACCCAUCAUGAGGUUGCUACAACCUAGCCUA